GGCUUACUCUCCCGUCUGUCCAGUGCAUAAUCGAGCUUGCGGGCCCCGCGCUCCCAGGCAUGUGGGCCAGCGUCGCGGGGCUGAGAGGCUCCUGCGCGGGGCUGCAGGCUCUGCGGGGCAGCUACAGGGCCGCGCUUCUUCCCAGCAGCUCGCUGGCCCUGCACACCUCGGUCACCUCCUGCGGAAGCAAGAACUUGCUCAAGAAAUUUGCUUCGAAAACCAGGUAUGCACCGAUCAGGGUCCUCUGCGGGCCUGGUCGCCUGGUGCACGGUUGGAUGGAGGCAGUUUCUACAGUGAACCGAUGUCUUUGAGGGGUUGAGCCGGGACCAUGGGGACAGGUAUCGGUUCAUGUUAUUAUUAUUGGCAGAUCACCUGCAGUUUGACCCUUGACAAUUUACACGUUCCCUUCACACUUUAAGUUUAUUUUUGUACAGGGUUAAGCCUCCUGAAACCUCACAGUGCGGAAAAUUUGUCUUAAUUAGAUAUUUUUAAUAAUAAAGAUAUAAGACACUUUGAUUUGGCUGGGCAGUGGCACUUGGGAGGCAGAGAUAGGCGGAUCUCUGAUCUGAGUUCAAGGCCAGCCUGGUCUAUAGUAUGAGUUUCAGGGUAGUCAGGACUAAGCAGAGAAGCUGUGUCUCCAAAAACAAGAAAAAGGGUUUUGUUUAUGCUUGUUUUUUAAAUUUCCACAGCAUCUUAGAACUACCAAGUGUGUUAGGCCAGUUAUAUUUUGGGGGGUUUGUUUUAACAAAUGAUUUUACAGGUGGUUUUCGGCUUAUGAAGAAGUGCAGAGUUCUGAGUCUGGUCUCAGACACUCUAUCAGAACUUAAUGUGCUAUUCUUAAUGUCUUA
rnacentral:lncRNA from 1 species